GAAAUUGAAAUGCCAUUAGUAAAUUGAUUAUAUAUAUAACAAUAUGCUUAUGCUUUGGGUUUUAAAUUUAAUUAUAUUCCCAUCAUCAGAUUGUCAUGCGUGUCACUCAGUAAUUAUACUAAUUUUAUUUGAUCAACUGGACAUUAAUUAAUUUAAUUCAUCAAUCAUCCCUUCAUGUGAUGAAAAGACUCAAAAAAAUGGUGACAAAACCAC
rnacentral:lncRNA from 1 species